rnacentral:lncRNA from 1 species
UCAGACCAAACAUUUCUUCUGAUGGGAUACUUACAAAAAGAUGGCAUCUCAACAUGCUAUUUCACAAGAGAUUUGUAACAACCUGAGCCUUAGGCCCUUUGGGCUAAUCUAAUAAGACCCCAGCCCUUGACAUAUGAGUGCGUGGCACGUGCUAGAGGGGAAGAAGAAUUCCAGCUGAAUUCUUCAUCCUUCCCAACUCCAUCAGAUAUCGGAAGUCUAGGGCUUUCCAAGAUCAAGCCAAGAACCCUAAAUCCCUACUAUAAAUGAUAAAUCUCUCUCUCCAUUGGACUCCACCACCAAAAUCCCAAGCAAAUCACCACCAGUUUCAAUCUUUUUCACAGCUUUUUCUCUUGGACUUUUGGUCAAAAAAAGCUUACCAGAAUCACUUUUUUUGGUCUUGCUGGACCAAGGUAGCCACCCUCUAUCUUCUUCUCCUUCUUUUCCCAAUCUUUUACUCAUCUUCGUUGCUCGAUUAGGUCCGACGAGUUG